rnacentral:rRNA from 1 species
AGUAACACGUGGAUAAUCUGCCCUGCACAGGGGGACAACAGCUAGAAAUGGCUGCUAAUACCGCAUAAGCCUACAGCCUCGCAUGAGGGAGUAGGAAAAGAAAUUCGGUGCAGGAUGAGUCCGCGUCUGAUUAGCUAGUUGGAGGGGUAAAAGCCCACCAAGGCAACGAUCAGUAGCCGGCCUGAGAGGGUGAACGGCCACAUUGGGACUGAGACACGGCCCAAACUCCUACGGAAGGCAGCAG